AUGAUGAUUACUCCUUUGCUUCCUUUCAUCUCGGCUGUAGUCUGUACUGAGAAAGGGAAUUAGUUAGCUUCCCGACGAACGGGAUCAAGGUCGGUCGAUAUACUGUACUGACGCCGGGAUUCCGAGGAACUGAACUGCCAGCAACUCCUCCAUCAUCCUCUGAGACCAAAAAGCAUGAACUGAACUGCCAGCAACUCCUCCAUCAUUCUCUGAGACCAAAAAGCAAAGGGAGGACACAAACCCGGCAUCGAUAUACCGACGCAGGGCAGAAUGCCGGUUACUGACAACUGGCAUCCCCGAUCGUUCGGACAGCGGGACUCGCUGCUAUCCUGUUGCGGGGUGCGUGCGUGUGUGUUAGGUUUAGGCAGUAGAAGUGGGGUUAGGGUGCUGCCACAGGAAGGUUAAGGUUAGGGACCAGGGACGGAAGGUUAGGGUUAGGCACAUAGAAGGGGAGGUAAAGAUUAGGUACCCAGCAGGGAUGGUUAGGUUUAGG